GAUGAACGCUGGCGGCGUGCUUAACACAUGCAAGUCGAACGGAAAGGCCCAAGCUUGCUUGGGUACUCGAGUGGCGAACGGGUGAGUAACACGUGGGUGAUCUGCCCUGCACUUCGGGAUAAGCCUGGGAAACUGGGUCUAAUACCGGAUAGGACCACUUCUUGGAUGUUGUGGUGGAAAGUUUUUUCGGUGUGGGAUGAGCUCGCGGCCUAUCCGCUUGUUGGUGGGGUAAUGGCCUACCAAGGCGUCGACGGGUAGCCGGCCUGAGAGGGUGUACGGCCACAUUGGGACUGAGAUACGGCCCAGACUCCUACGGGAGGCAGCAGUGGGGAAGAUUGCACAAUGGGCGCAAGCCUGAUGCAGCGACGCCGCGUGGGGGAUGACGGCCUUCGGGUUGUAAACUCCUUUCGCUAGGGACGAAGCGUUUUGUGACGGUACCUGGAGAAGAAGCACCGGCUAACUACGUG
rnacentral:rRNA from 1 species